GGAGAGGUCGCAUAGAGGUCGAGUGCGCACGCUUGGAAAGCGUGUAGUCCUUAAUGGGGGCUCGGGGGUUCGAAUCCCCUCCUCUCCU
rnacentral:tRNA from 1 species